UAGGGAAUCUUCGGCAAUGGGGGGAACCCUGACCGAGCAACGCCGCGUGAGUGAAGAAGGUUUUCGGAUCGUAAAGCUCUGUUGUUAAGGAAGAACGAGUGUGAGAAUGGAAAGUUCAUGCUGUGACGGUACUUAACCAGAAAGGGACGGCUAACUACGUGCCAGCAGCCGCGGUAAUACGUAGGUCCCGAGCGUUGUCCGGAUUUAUUGGGCGUAAAGCGAGCGCAGGCGGUUAGAAAAGUCUGAAGUGAAAGGCAGUGGCUCAACCAUUGUAGGCUUUGGAAACUGUUUAACUUGAGUGCAGAAGGGGAGAGUGGAAUUCCAUGUGUAGCGGUGAAAUGCGUAGAUAUAUAGAAGAACACCGGUGGCGAGAGCGGCUCUCUGGUCUGUAACUGACGCUGAGGCUCGAAAGCGUGGGGAGCGAACAGG
rnacentral:rRNA from 1 species